CCCCUAGAUGUUCUGGGCCGCACGCGCGCUACACUGAACAGUUCAACAAGUCUUAACCUUGGCCGAUAGGUCUGGGUAAUCUUUGAACGCUGUUCGUGAUUGGGAUAGACCUUUGCAAUUAUGGGUCUUCAACGAGGAAUUCCUAGUAAACGCAAGUCAUCAGCUUGCAUUGAUUACGUCCCUGCCCUUUGUACACACCGCCCGUCGCACCUACCGAUUGAAUGGUUUAGUGAGAUCUCGGGACUGGCCUGCGCUGGUUGGCAACAACUGGCAUGGGCUGGGAACUUGCUCAAACUUGAUCAUUUAGAGGAAGUAAAAGUCGUANCA
rnacentral:rRNA from 1 species